AUUGAACGCUGGCGGCAGGCCUAACACAUGCAAGUCGAGCGGGGUUUUCGGACCUAGCGGCGGACGGGUGAGUAAUGCGUAGGAAGCUACCCGAUAGAGGGGGAUACCAGUUGGAAACGACUGUUAAUACCGCAUAAUGUCUACGGACCAAAGUGUGGGACCUUCGGGCCACAUGCUAUCGGAUGCGCCUACGUGGGAUUAGCUAGUUGGUGGGGUAAUGGCUCACCAAGGCGACGAUCCCUAGCUGGUUUGAGAGGAUGAUCAGCCACACUGGAACUGAGACACGGUCCAGACUCCUACGGGAGGCAGCAGUGGGGAAUAUUGGACAAUGGGCGCAAGCCUGAUCCAGCCAUGCCGCGUGUGUGAAGAAGGCCUUCGGGUUGUAAAGCACUUUCAGUAGGGAGGAAGCGUUGUGUGUUAAUAGUACACAGCGUUGACGUUACCUACAGAAGAAGCACCGGCUAACUCUGUGCCAGCCGCCGCAGUAAGAC
rnacentral:rRNA from 1 species